rnacentral:rRNA from 1 species
AGAGUUUGAUCCUGGCUCAGAAUCAACGCUGGCGGCGUGCCUCAGACAUGCAAGUCGAACGCGAAAGCCCCUUCGGGGGCAAGUAGAGUGGCGCACGGGUGAGUAACACGUAGGUAAUCUACCUUUGGAUUGGGAAUAACCACCGGAAACGGUGGCUAAUACCGAAUAAUGCAGCGGCACCUAAUGGUGACAGUUGUUAAAGCGGGGGAUCGCAAGACCUCGCGUCUGAAGAGGAGCCUGCGGCGGAUUAGCUAGUUGGUAAGGUAACGGCUUACCAAGGCGAUGAUCCGUAGCCGGCCUGAGAGGGCGGUCGGCCACACUGACACUGACAUACGGGUCAGACUCCUACGGGAGGCAGCAGUCGGGAACUUUGGGCAAUGGGCGAAAGCCUGACCCAGCAACGCCGCGUGAAGGAUGAAAUCCUUCGGGAUGUAAACUUCGCAAGAACGGGAAGAAUAAGUAAGGGUUAAUAUCUCUUACGAUGACGGUACUGUUUGUAAGCUCCGGCUAACUCCGUGCCAGCAGCCGCGGUAAUACGGGGGGAGCAAGCGUUGUUCGGAUUUACUGGGCGUAAAGGGCGCGUAGGCGGCCACCGCAAGUCGACUGUGAAAUCUCUGGGCUUAACCCAGAACGGUCAGCCGAUACUGCGGGGCUAGAGUGCAGAAGGGGCAACUGGAAUUCUCGGUGUAGCGGUGAAAUGCGUAGAUAUCGAGAGGAACACCUGCGGCGAAGGCGGGUUGCUGGGCUGACACUGACGCUGAGGCGCGAAAGCUAGGGGAGCGAACGGGAUUAGAUACCCCCGUAGUCC